AACCCCUGCCCUCUGCAGUGGAAGCACAGAAUCUUAGUUACUGGACUGCCAGGGAAGUCUCAAGACUGGCUGGUUUGGGGAAUCAAAAGGCAAAUGGGCUAGUGUGGAUGAAGGGCAGGAUGCUUGAGGGGAAAGGGGCAGGGAUGGAUAGAGUGAGAAAGAAAGCUGCUGCUGCUACCCUUCCCACUUGGAAAAUGCCCAAAUUAUUUUCUGCUCUCUUUGGCUGAGGUAAGAAUUCAGCUUUGUAGAACUAGGGCCUGACACAGUUGUGUUUGUAACCACCACUCUCUCCUCUAUCCAUCCUCACCAGAAAAUCUACUGAGGGGACCCUCUUCAUAGCAGCCCCACAUCAAGACAGUGACCAAGAGGGAGGAGAGAAGCCAUGUCUUGAAGUUCUCAAUUCAAAAAGAUUUUGGUUCUGAGGCUUAGGCUGAAAAGGCAGAGUUGAGGAGGGUAUUGGAUUGUGCAGGAACAAGAGGCUCCUCUCCAACUCCUCCAUGAGCACACUCUGGUCCUGGGGCCUGUUCUCUCUCCAUGCAGGAGCUGUCACAAACUCCGGAGGUGGUGGCAAUGCUGGCUACACCACUCAUCCCAGCACCACCGGCCCCAGAGCCCAGUCAUCUGUCAGUGCCUUCACUGCCAGUGUUCAUGGACCACAUAAAACACCAAGGGCCAAGGUAACUCAGUGUGUGGUGCCAUGCUAGACUCUUGUACUCCUAAAGAAGCCUGCCAAGUUGCC
rnacentral:lncRNA from 1 species